AAGGAAGGACAGAAAUCAAUAAGUACUGCUAAUCCUUAUGCACCGGGGUUAAAAUCCGCGGCUUCCUUACG
rnacentral:tRNA from 1 species